rnacentral:rRNA from 1 species
AAUAAGCGGAGGAAAAGAAACUAACAAGGAUUCCCCUAGUAACGGCGAGUGAAGCGGGAUGAGCUCAAAUUUGUAAUCUGGCGGCCUUUGGCCGUCCGAGUUGUAGUCUGGAGAAGCGUCUUCCGCGUCGGACCGUGUACAAGUCCCUUGGAACAGGGCGUCAUAGAGGGUGAGAAUCCCGUCUUUGACACGGACUGCCGAUGCUUUGUGAUGCGCUCUCGAAGAGUCGAGUUGUUUGGGAAUGCAGCUCAAAACGGGUGGUAAAUUCCAUCUAAAGCUAAAUACGGGCGAAAGACCGAUAGCGAACAAGUACCGUGAGGGAAAGAUGAAAAGCACUUUGGAAAGAGAGUUAAACAGUACGUGAAAUUGUUGAAAGGGAAACGCUUGAAGUCAGUCGCGUCUCCUGGGACUCAGCCUUGCUUCUGCUCGGUGUACUUCCUGGGGUGAUGGGCCAGCAUCGAUUUUGACCGUCGGAGAAAGGCCUUGGGAACGUGGCACCCUUUGGGUGUGUUAUAGCCCUUGGUCGUAUGCGACGGUCGGGAUCGAGGACCGCAGCACGCCUUUUUGGCCGGGGUUCGCCCACGUACGUGCUUAGGAUGCUGGCGUAAUGGCUUUAAGCGACCCGUCUUGAAACACGGACCAAGGAGUCUAACAUGCCUGCGAGUGUUUGGGUGGUAAACCCGGACGCGAAAUGAAAGUGAAAGGUUGGGACCUCUGUCGUGGAGGGCACCGACGCCCGGACCAGACCUUUUGUGACGGUUCCGAGGUAGAGCAUGCAUGCUGGGACCCGAAAGAUGGUGAACUAUGCUUGAGUAGGGUGAAGCCAGAGGAAACUCUGGUGGAGGCUCGUAGCGAUUCUGACGUGCAAAUCGAUCGUCGAACUUGAGUAUAGGGGCGAAAGACUAAUCGAACCAUCUAGUAGCUGGUUCCUGCC